AUGGCCGCCUUCGACGCGGCCGUCUCCGGCCUGGACACGGCGCCCGACCUCCGCCUCGCCGCGCACCAGUACGAGCAGCUCCUCCACUUGCUCGCCUCCGCGGACGCGCGCCGCGUUCCCCCGGCCGCCGCCGCGCGCCGCGUGUUCGCCCACAUGCUGGAGGCCGGGGCGCCCCCGUCUGAGGCCACCAUCACCUCGCUCGGCCGCGUCGUAGCCGCAGACACCGAGGGCGCGACGAGGCCUUCGGGCUCGUCUCCACCAUGCGGCAGAAGUACGGCCUCGCGCCGCGCCUCCGGUCCUACAGCCCCGUGCUUGCCAUGUUCCGGCGCGCCGGGGAGGCUGGAAAGGCCUACGCGGUUGAGGCCCACAUGGCGGCCUCCGCUGUAUCGCCGGAAGAGCCCGAGUUCGCCGCACUCCAUGAGGUCAGCGCAACAGUUUGGGACGCAGACAAGGUGUAUGAGUAUAUGCACAAGCUGCAGCGAGCUGUCGGCUGUGUGA
rnacentral:rRNA from 1 species